CAAGUGAAGAGCAAGACAGGGACAUCCCCAGAGUUCCAACCACAUCUCUAAAACCAGACCAACCUACAGGAUCCUAGAAUGACUCUCCAAUUCUCCAAACACUGAAAAAGCUAUAUGGGGCAGCCUCGUGGGCUACCUACAGAGCUUCCGACUGGACGUGACCCAUCCACAGAGCUUCAGGAUCACAGGGGGCCCGCCCUGCUGUUACCUACAGGGCAGGGGAGCUCGGACUUUGGCUCAAAACACAGGGCACUCUCACCCCUGUCCGCGGAGCGCUGGGAAGGUUAACUGAGAUUAUGAACUUGGACCUGCUGGGUAUGCCAAAAGGCUCUAAAUAAAAAGCCUUUUCCUGGGUUCACGGGAGCAGCCAACCUUAUAAUCCUCGUGGACACAUGGUAGCCGGCGAUUCAUCAAAGGCUCCUCCGUCCUCCCCCAAGCUUCUGGGACACACAACCCUGGUGUCUCUAACUUUCCUGCAUAUCAACACAAGGAUUCUGGCCUUGAGGACCCCAGCUGAGUGGCUCCUCCAAUGGGAGAUUCAAGAAGGCCCUGGGCUAUGUGAUGGUACAGAGCACCACCCCCCUGACCUGAACGCUGCAGAAGGACCUUAACCGGCUCCGCUCCUCCCCUUCAGUCCAGGGUGAGCUUUUCACGAAGAUCUUAAACUCCUUCAUAGGUCGAAGGUGUCUUAGGAUAAAGGAUAGAUUCCUAACCAUGCCCUACGAGGCCCUCAUGGCCUGCCUCAGCUGAUACCUCCAGCCCAGCUCUCCUCGGCCCUACUUCCACCUGCCACAGCAUCCUCUCUGCCUCCAGCCUGUGCCCAGGCUGCGCCUUUCACCUGGUCCUACAUCCCUUUCAACCCUAGGCAUCUUUCAAAGAGCCGCUCAGUCACUGCAGUGAGGUUUCCUUGAUCCCUAGAAGACUCAGGUCCUAGAGCCCUCUGUGUUCUCCUACGCAGCCCUCAUAUCAGCUGAGAACUACAAAUUUAAUUGGGUGUUUGACUUCACUGUUGAAACCAAAGACUCCAUGAUGGCAGGGGCUACAUCCCUCUUGUUCACCACUGGACCUCUAGUGCUGAGUGCAAUGACCAGCAUGAAUAUGUGAAAAUAAACGAGAGAAUGAAUGAAUAAAUGAAUGGUCAAACAAACAGCCUUGGGGGAUGAAAAGUGAAAAGGGAAGUAAAGCCGGAAGCAGAUGGGGAGACCUAGAUUUGAUUAUUCCUACUCUAGGAACUCUAGUGGAAGGUGGAAGACAAGAACAUGGGGAGGAAGCCGAGUCAUGUGUAAGAGGGCAGGGUUGCCUUGGUUGCUGGGGGUACACAGGACCCCAGGAGGAGGGGGUCAUUGACCUGGGGGCCAUGGAGGAGCACUUGCUGAUAAUUCACGUCCGUGAUCUCAUUCUGCCUCACGCAAUACUGAGGUGGGGUGCUAUUAUUAGUCCAUUGUUACAGAUGAGGAAACUGAGUCCCAGGGGGAUGAAGGACCUGCCUGAGGUCCCACAGCUGAGAGGGGGUGGGGCCAGGGAAGUGACUGUUCACACAAGGCAGUGAGUUCUAGAUGUAAGCGGGAAAAGUCUCUUACGCAGGGCAUCUCUGCAAAAAAGUGAAACAAAUUUAUUAGCAUCUCCCUGAAACUGCUGGAACAGAAAUGCUUACACUUGUAGUAAGUCAGCGUGGUAAGCGAGAAUGAAUUGGAUUGUUCCAGGCUUAUCAACAGAGAACCUACUCUAGCCAAGUCCAAUGCCAAACGUCUCACCUGCAUCAGCCCCUGCGAUCCUCAGAAUGGCCCCGUGAAGCUGCUGGCACUAGCAUUGGGCCCAUUUUGCAGAUGAAGACAUGAAGCUGAAAGAAGUUCCUGUUAC